rnacentral:rRNA from 1 species
UAUCUCUGUAGAGUCUGCAUAUCAAUAAGCGGAGGAAAAGAAACUAACAAGGAUUCCCCUUAGUAACGGCGAGUGAAGCGGGAAGAGCUCAAAUUUGAAAUCUUCAAGGUUCUACCUUGACGAAUUGUAGUUUAAAGAAGUGUUUUCUGUUGGAGUUUUGGUAAAAGUUCUUUGGAAUAGGACAUCAUAGAGGGUGAGAAUCCCGUAUUUGACCAUUAUUUCCAGCUUUGUGAUACACUUUCAAAGAGUCGGAUUGUUUGGGAAUGCAGUCCAAAAUGGGUGGUAAAUUUCAUCUAAAGCUAAAUAUUGGCGAGAGACCGAUAGCGAACAAGUACCGUGAGGGAAAGAUGAAAAGAACUUUGAAAAGAGAGUUAAACAGUACGUGAAAUUGUCAAAAGGGAAGCGUUUGACACCAGUGUUGUUUUUCUCGAAAAUCAAUUAAAAAAAGUUGGAUUUUGUAUUGUUAAGACCUUAUCAGCUUACUGUACUCUUUUCUUGCUUUUUUUUAAUGCACUUUUCGUUUAACAAGUCAACAUCAAUUUCUUUUGUUGUAAAAGAGUCAUUGGAAGGUGGCUUUCACUUCGGUGAAAGUGUUUAUAGCCUUUGGCUUCUGCAAUCGGAGAGAUUGAGGUCUGCAGCGUAGAUCCUUCGGGGCUAGAUACGUAGAUGCUAAGUUAUAGUUUUUUAUAGACAACUUGUUGACUAUAAUUAAUCAUGUAGCUUACUCGUUUGCGCUAUUUUACCUACGCUUAGGAUGUUGAAGAUGUAGCACAUCAU